rnacentral:rRNA from 1 species
AUUGAACGCUGGCGGCAGGCCUAACACAUGCAAGUCGAACGCGUGGCGGACGGGUGAGUAGUGUCUGGGAAACUGCCUGAUGGAGGGGGAUAACUACUGGAAACGGUAGCUAAUACCGCAUACCAUCGGAUGUGCCCAGAUGGGAUUAGCUAGUAGGGGGGGUAAAGGCUCACGUAGGCGACGAUCCCGAGCUGGUCUGAGAGGAUGACCAGCCACACUGGAACUGAGACACGUUCCAGACUCCUACGGGAGGCAGCAGUGGGGAAUAUUGCACAAUGGGCGCAAGCCUGAUGCAGCCAUGCCGCGUGGAUGAAGAAGGCCUUCGGGUUGUAAAGUACUUUCAGCGGGGAGGCGUUACCCGCAGAAGAAGCACCGGCUAACUCCGUGCCAGCAGCCGCGGUAAUUC